rnacentral:lncRNA from 1 species
AUGCUGAGCUGUGCUGGCACCUUCCUCCCCUCUGCUUUCAGCUGUGCCCUGCCACACGGAGGGCUUGGAUCCAGAAUUCCUGCUGGGAGCACCACGGGGCCAGGCCAGCUCCUUAUGACACAAAGUGCCUUUCCUGGAGCUCCCUCUGGCACAGCCAGGGAGCCUCCUGGGGUGGGAGGUGUUGCUGUGCUGGGAACGGGCAGAGCAAAGCUGGAGCUGCCCAGACCCCAAACCUGGAGCUGCCCAGACCCCAAACCUGGAGCUGCCCAGAUCCCAACUGGAGCUGCCCAGAUCCCAGGGGAUCCUCUGGGAUCCCUCCCUCCACAGGAGUGGCUUGGGGAGCAGUUUUCACUCCAGUCCUGGCCAGCCCAAGGAAAGCUGCUCCAGAGGCACAGGAGCAGUUCCCAGAGGAUGUGGGAGGUGUGGGGAGGACACAAACCCUGUCACCACUUGGCUGUGGGACAUGCAAGUGCUGCUGCCAUGGGGCAAGCAUUCAGGAGAGCCUUCCUCCUCCUCCUCCUCCUCCUCCUCCUCCUCCUGCUGCUGGGACAAUGCCAGCUGCUGCAGCAGGACAGGAGCCAUCUCCUUCCAGUUUUCCAUCCUCUUUCCAGCCAGCAGGAGCACUGACACCUCUGGCUGAGGCCAGGUGCUGUAGGGGAGUUAUUUUGGAGGGAAUUGCAGGCAGGUGAGGAUCAUCCCCUGCAGAUCAAGGCACCUCAGACCCCCCCCAAACCCAAACCCAAACUCAGGAGACCUCCUGGAGCAGGGGGGCACCAAUCCUCCCAAACCAGAGCAUCCAGCUCCACAUGGGCGUUUUAAAAGCAAUUUUCUCCCCUUUUAGCACCAAGUGAUCACACCCAGAGCCCGGAGCAGGGCUUGGGCUGCUCUUUGUGGGGCUUGGCCCCAGCUCUGCAGGCAGGGGUGGCACAGAGGGGACAGGAACACCCCAACACUCCUGCAAAAGGCUCCUUUUUCAAUCACAGCAGAAGAAUGACUUAGAUUUGCUGGUAGAAGGAGCUGGUGGGAGCCAGGCACCUUCCCAAGGGAGGGCCACCCAUUCCAGGCCAUGCCAGGCUCCCAAGGAAGGAGAUUCCCACGAUUACCAAGGAAGGAGACGUUCGCUGUCUGGUGGGGUCUUUAGCCAUGUGCACUUAGUCAGUAGGUGAGUAGAUGUUGCUGCCCGUAUCUAUCUCCCCUACCCAGUUGCUACGUGUGAACAAGUGUAUUUCUCCCCAGUGUUGUGGGUUCUGCCUGUGGUGACACGAGGAUGGAAAAGGCAGGGAUGACCUCGAGCUUCCUCCUGUACAGGGUAGAGAGGAAACCUGGAUGGAUCCGAGGCACCGCUUGUAACUACAUUUGUUCAAGAAAUGUCAUCUUAACCCCAAACUGUUGACACUUUAUGCAUGUGCUAAUUAAAUUUAAAAUAAAAAAAAAAAAGGGAUUAAUAAAAAAAUUAAU